AUUGAACGCUGGCGGCAGGCCUAACACAUGCAAGUCGAGCGGAUGAAGGGAGCUUGCUCCUGGAUUCAGCGGCGGACGGGUGAGUAAUGCCUAGGAAUCUGCCUGGUAGUGGGGGAUAACGUCCGUAAACGGGCGCUAAUACCGCAUACGUCCUGAGGGAGAAAGUGGGGGAUCUUCGGACCUCACGCUAUCAGAUGAGCCUAGGUCGGAUUAGCUAGUUGGUGGGGUAAAGGCCUACCAAGGCGACGAUCCGUAACUGGUCUGAGAGGAUGAUCAGUCACACUGGAACGGAGACACGGUCCAGACUCCUACGGGAGGCAGCAGUGGGGAAUAUUGGACAAUGGGCGAAAGCCUGAUCCAGCCAUGCCGCGUGUGUGAAGAAGGUCUUCGGAUUGUAAAGCACUUUAAGUUGGGAGGAAGGGCAGUAAGUUAAUACCUUGCUGUUUUGACGUUACCAACAGAAUAAGCACCGGCUAACUUCGUG
rnacentral:rRNA from 1 species